rnacentral:rRNA from 1 species
AAUAGAUACCCUGGUAGUCCACGCCGUAAACGAUGAGUGCUAAGUGUUAGAGGGUUUCCGCCCUUUAGUGCUGCAGCUAACGCAUUAAGCACUCCGCCUGGGGAGUACGACCGCAAGGUUGAAACUCAAAGGAAUUGACGGGGGCCCGCACAAGCGGUGGAGCAUGUGGUUUAAUUCGAAGCAACGCGAAGAACCUUACCAGGUCUUGACAUCCUCUGACCUCCCUAGAGAUAGGGCCUUCCCCUUCGGGGGACAGAGUGACAGGUGGUGCAUGGUUGUCGUCAGCUCGUGUCGUGAGAUGUUGGGUUAAGUCCCGCAACGAGCGCAACCCUUGACCUUAGUUGCCAGCAUUCAGUUGGGCACUCUAAGGUGACUGCCGGUGACAAACCGGAGGAAGGUGGGGAUGACGUCAAAUCAUCAUGCCCCUUAUGACCUGGGCUACACACGUGCUACAAUGGAUGGCACAAAGGGCUGCGAAACCGCGAGGUUAAGCCAAUCCCAUAAAACCAUUCUCAGUUCGGAUUGCAGGCUGCUAACC